GACGAACGCUGGCGGCGUGCUUAACACAUGCAAGUCGAACGGAAAGGCCCUGCUUUUGUGGGGUUCUCGAUUGGCGAACGGGUGAGUAACACGUGAGUAACCUGCCCUUGACUUUGUGAUAACUUCAGGAAACUGGGGCUCAUACCGGAUAUGAGCUCCUGCUGCAUGUUGUGGGUUGGAAAGUUUCGGCGGUUGGUGAUGGACUCGCGGCUUAUCAGCUUGUUGGUGGGGUAGUGGCUUACCAAGGCUUUGACGGGUAGCCGGCCUGAGAGUGUGACCGGCCACAUUGGGACUGAGAUACGGCCGAGACUCGUACGGGAGGCAGCAGUGGGGAAUAUUGCACAAUGGGCGGAAGCCUGAUGCAGCAACGCCGCGUGCGGGAUGACGGCCUUCGGGUUGUAAACCGCUUUCGCCUGUGACGAAGCGUGAGUGACGGUAAUGGGUAAAGAAGCACCGGCUAACUACGUG
rnacentral:rRNA from 1 species